GGCGGCGCGCACGGAGGCGCGGGUGUGGCGCGUGCCAUGACUUCAGAUGCUGCAUUGCCUGCUUCAGAACUAGAGUCACGUGAUUGACACCCAAACUCAUCCUCUUCUGAGUGUGUCAAGGGCCUUGGACUCCAGUCCUCUUGACUAGGGCGCAGUUAAGGUGCCCGAUGGAGACUGGUUGCUGCUGUAAGGCCUUUUUAUAAAUGUGGUUAAAACCUUAGAGUGUGGAGAUUGGUGUCUCGGCACCACACUCUUAGGUUCUGGGUUCAUGCUCUAGGAUGCACUGACUUUAACACAUCUUUAACAUGUUUGAGAACUGUGGAACCACAGGAGAUUUCUGGAAGAAAACUGCCAUCCCCAUGGAAGAGAACUUGGUGAAUUCAGAACCACAACUGUCAACAUAGGUGAAGAUAACUUCAUUUCAGCUGGUGGGACAACCCUCCCCCACAUCCUGUGUGCCACUUUUUUCCAGUCAGUUCUACUCCGCCUAAGGCAUUUAAAGAUGUUAAGAGAUUUUUUUUAUCAUUGCACCAGCUUUGUAGUUAUCUAAAUAUGGUUAGCUCAAAUUGGGGGACAGAAGAAAAGAAAUUGAAACAUCAAGUAGUAAUACCGUUUGACCUGAACCUGUGAAAAGUUAAGAGGCCAUUGCAGCCUGAAAGACCAGCUGUUAGGUCUGCAUGCAGGGUAGCAGAAAAGAAUGGUUUUCAGAGUAGAGGGGAAUGGAAAAAUUUCUUAUCUAGAAUAAAUUCACACACGAACUGUU